rnacentral:lncRNA from 1 species
UUCUCUCCCUUAGGUGGUUUGCCAACUGGGGUUGGUGGCUUGUUUUCUGGGAGUGGCUUCUCUCCCUUGGGUGGUUUGCCAACUGGGGUUGGUGGCUUGUGUUCUGGGAGUGGCUUCUCCCCCUUGGGAGGUUUUUCGAAUGGGGUGGGUUUGUGUCCUGGUGGUGGCUUCUCUCCCUUGGGAGGUUUACCAAUUGGGGUCGGUGGCUUGUGUUCUGGGAGGGGCUUCUCUCCCUGGGGAGGUUUAGUGGGUGGCUUGUGUUCUGGAGGUGGCUUCUCCACCGGAGGCUUAUGCUCUGGUGGUGGCUUCUCGAAGGGGGGAUGCUCAGGGUAAUCACCAAGUGAGGGGGUGGUGAGAACCACCAUGCCAAGCAACAACACUAGCAAGUAUGUAGUAGACAUCUUUGGGUUUGGACUCAGACAGUGCAAAACUACGAGAAAUCGCUAGCCCUUUAUAGCGGCUCGGACCUAAUACUGACAUAAUAUAAAAUAAAUAUUAUAUUUUAUCAAGAGAGAACAGAGUGUAAUUUUAUCAUUAAUACCGAUCGAGGCCAAAGAAAGAAGACCCAUAAUCCAUUUCCCACAAGCAUACACAAUGCAGCUGUAAUUUUAUCAUUUACUUUUAUCCCUUGGACCACUGCAUUUUUGUUGAGAGACACAAUAACACAUUUUUAUCUGUCAUUCAACAUUUACAGUAAAGAGAGGGCACAAAACGCAAUUAGAUAAAUUAUGUUUUGCCUGCUAAAAAGAGGCAAAUAACUUUAUUUGCAACAUAAUUAUUUUGGUUUCUAGUGACCCCGGGGCCUUUCGGUUGGUUUGGGAUCGGAAAAUGAACAUCAUAGGGGGGGUUGUGCCCUUAUGGGCAUAUAUAUCUGAUAGCUUCAACUGGCCUUGUUCCUAGAAAGAAAUUGCCAAAGAUAUAAACUUAUUCCAGGCUGAAAGUAGAUGAGAGUCAUAAUGAACAUCAACCUUUGUUCAGUUUGAUUCAAUGCCCCCAUAGUGUUCAUUUCACAGAUCUGAAUGAUUAUAUCCGUUGAAUACAUAAAUUAAUGAAGACAAAUAUGAAACCCAAGAUACAUCUCUGCAUAACAACCCCAACCCUGGUUGCUAUGUUUCCCUUCUUCUAUUCACAUGAGGAUACUGGUUAUAAUUGUCAAACUUGCAACAAGCCCUUUGACACCUAACGUCAAUGGACGAAUUAAAAGUCUCCUUCAAACGUCUAUUUCACAGCAUGAAGCUUAUAAAGGAUGCUGACAACCUUCAGAGUUAGCGACAAAAGAUAAUUAUCAAGGAGAGAUAGUUCCAUGAGAAUUCCAAGGAGUCUGAAUCAAAGACAAAUUGCUCACUCAAGGGUUCUUAUUUUCUUUUAGGUACAAAUCUCUUGAGUGUUGUUAAAGAAACACGUCACUGUCAUUUUGAUUUGCAUUUAACAUUUCACUUUUGUUCUGGAAGGUUUGUUCCGGAAACAUAUCAAAUGAGCAUCAUUUUCUUCUUCGGUGACACAUGGUCGCGAGUACGUGGGUCCAUUUUCAUGCCACUUAGUUGAAAAGUUGGAAAGAAAAAACAUGCCAACAAGAAGAUAGUGAGAGAAGGGGCACUUCAAGCCUUUAACAUGAACAAACAGUAAAUAAAAGAUGUUUCUCCACUCAUAAAAGUGUGUUAGAUAGCAAUAUAACGAAUCACAUCCAAAAUCUUUACUAGGCUCAAACAUAAAGAAGACUCAUUUUUAAGAAAAGAUAAAAAUGGCAUUGUCUGAUAGUAUCCAAUACACGAGAUGGCACUUAAUUUGUACAAGAUCUGUCAAUGCUGACGCACAUUUUCUGAUUAAAAAAAAACUGAUCAGUCAAAAGCAAUGAAGAGAAGUGAUGACAAUGAAUGAUGCUUCCAAUAUUUUCACCCCUUAUAGUGUUCUUCAUGAUUCAGAUAUAUAAUUGGAAAUAGAACAACCCUAUGCCAUACAUUCGUCUAAGUAUGGUGUCUAAUUUUUUGUGUCAGCGGUUGCGAAUGGAGCGUGCAAAAGUCCAAAUUGGCGUCUCUCCAUUUCCACAUAGGAAGGUGACCUUUAUUGACAAAUACCCAAUAUUUGUAGACAUUCCUUAAAUAUCAUAACUUCUUGUUGAUUUGAAAAUCAUUUUUCAACUACCAUGUUUUAAUAAAUAUUUUUUAAAAUGUAUUUUUAUCAAAGUCCACCAUGAUGGAUAAUAUUCACCAUGCAAUAAUUAAUAAAGUACAAACUAAGCGAAAUGAAAAGCAUUUUCUUUGCUUUGAGUUGAUUUUGGUUGCAUUGAGUUGAUUUUGGUUUCAUGGUUUUUUCAACUCUUAUUUUGAUUGGAAGAUGUCAAGAAAAGAAAACAUAAAGAAAAAUUAAAAGGGAAAAAAGAAGAAAAAUAAAAAAAAAUAGAUUUAAAAGUUAAUAAAUUAUUUUUUAUAUUUAUUUUAAUUCAUUUCACUUAUUUUUCUUUUACUAUAUAAAAUUUAAAUAAUUUAAAUUUUAUAAUUAAUUUAAUUACAUUUCAUUUUCUUCUAUAUUUAAAUAUUGGAAAAAUAUUUUACUUAAUAUUUUUUUCUUUAAUUUCUUUGGCAUUUUGGGAACCAAACUUAGCCUUUAAAAUAAAAAACAAAAAAAAAAUGAAAAUAAGGAGGGAAAAGUGAGAAAAGAUAAAAACAAUAUGUAAAGGAUUUGAAAAGUAUUAGUUUGUAAUUACUAUUUGGAUUUCAAUAGUAUUUUAUUUGUCUUUCUAUAUUUCAUGUAAGAGAGAAUUUAAGAUAUUCCCCAAGGCAAAGCAUUAGUUACCUGCAAUCAGUGGUGAUAAGGCUCCAAGCCAAUUUUGGGCCCCAUAUCUUAAGACAGUACAAUUUCCAUUUCAACAUUUCUGAUUUCUCAGAUGUUUCACAUACCACAGAAGAACAUUGUUUGUGAAAAUAUGCAUUUAUGUUGGAUUUUGUAUGCUGUGGGGACUGGGGCAAGGAUCAUAUGGAAGAGUGGUUGACUUUUUCUGUACUUUAACGGUUGAAAUAGGAUAAGCACGGGCAUUUGUGAGGCUUAAUUGAUUUUGAAGCCUGAAAUUGCGUUUCUGUCAUUUUGUCAAAAAAAUGGCAGAUUCCAUACUCAUAUGUUUGGCCUGUGGCCAUGUACAGAUGCCAUUUAGUGACCAGUUUGUAACUGUCAAUCGUUGCGUUUUGACUCUGCCUCAACAACAUCUGCCAUUGACGGGUUUUCAUACUUGCAAAUCAAAUAGUCUUUCGUCCCAUCAGGAAUUUCGGUUUAAAUAUUAUUAAGCAUACGUUUGGCUGACAAUCAUUAUCCAGUUCAUGAUUUGGUUUCUUACCCUUAAUCAAUGGUUUCUAAGUGAAUAUAUGUAGAAGGAAAUCCGAAGUGUAGACAGUAGUAUCGAUAACUCUCAAUAUUCUCUAUAUAAUAGAAUAAACAGCGUCAUAGUGAUCGUCGCCUACAAGCAAGGUACAAAUACCAAAACGAGUGACUCACAUAGACAUCUCCCAACAAGAUGUAGUAGUGACUGACACAUGGACACAAUUAACUCGUAGAAAAGGAUAAGACCAUUGCACAGCAGCUCUUAUUUUACAUACUACUUAUGCUAACCAAAGUCAAUUAGUUGGGAUGGGUGGGAGAUGGAGGUUUGUGCGGUGGCUUGUGGGGCGGAGUUGAUGGCUUCUUUCCAGGAGCUUCUGGCUUUUUCAUCGGAGCUGAAGGAGGCUCAAUCUUAUGAGGCGGCUUGUAUGAGUCUUCUUUACUCUCGACAGGAGGGUGGCCAGGGUUGUGAUCAUAAUGUGGUGGCUUCUCUCCCUUAGGUGGCUUGCCAACUGGGGUUGGUGGCUUGUGUUCAGGAAGUGGUUUCUCUCCCAUGGGAGGUUUAGCAAUUGGGGUUGGUGGCUUGUGUUCUGGGAGUGGCUUCUCUCCCUUGGGAGGUUUAGUAGGUGACUUGUGUUCUGGAGGUGGCUUCUCCACCGGAGGCUUGUGCUCCGGUGGUGGCUUCUUGGUUGGAGGGGGCUUGGGGUAAUCAGCAAGAGAUGGGGUGGUGAGAACCACCAGUCCAAGGAACAACACUAGCAAGUAUGUGGGAGACAUUUUUGAGUUUGGGCUGAUCAGAUGAUGCAAAACUAAAGCAUUACGUGACCUUUUAUAGCAUGUAGCUCCCAAUACCCACUAAGUAUUGUGGGGUCCAUUUGUGCCCUACGGGGUUGAAAACUUAGACAAUUGGGCAAGGACCCACCUGACUAUGGAGGACUAGUGAGGUGUGAUCAUAGCUUUAGGAUUUUUCUUCCUCUGCAGCCGUCGUGCCGUUGGCAUGAUUUUCUUAAUCUUAAAUAAAGGCAUAGUUAUAGAGUUGUUUAAUCUCUAAAUGGGAUUUUAUAUAUAUCUUCAGAUAGCCAUUAAUAUAUUUGAUGAAGAAAGAAAGACAAGUGCAUACAACAUGUAUACGACUAGCUUUCAUGGAGUUCAUUUAUGAUCAGUUUUCCUGUACAUGUAAACCAGGAUCAUAUAUAUGUUUCUGUUCCACAACUAUUUUGGAAUCUUGUUUAUCAGUUUUUAUCAUUAUAAUGUCACAUAGGCUGCCAACUUGGGCGCUAAAAGAACCAGUUGGGCUAGUUCGUUUCAGAAUUUCAAUGUGGAUUCAGGAAUUGUUUUGUAAGAUAUGCGAAAUAGUAGAGGGAUGAAUAGUGUUUCAUUAAUAAAAGUGUCCUGUAAAUUAGAAGGUGUCAUAGAAACUAUAAUCAAUAAAUAACUUUUUUUCCCCACGGGUGGUGUUUCUUGUGGGGAUCAGUGACUGGUUUAGGUUCACCCAAAAUGAGUUCAGACUAAAAUUGGUUUGAGUCAAUGCCGUGUCUCUUUUUUCCAGAAAUCAACUAUUUUAUGCAUUGAAUAAAUCAUACAAAGAAAAUAUGAACGCCCGCAAAACCUAAACCCUGGUUGCUAACUUUCUAUGUUUCAGUUCUAUUCACGCAAGAAUAUUAGUUUAAGUUUGGGAAAAAUGGCAACUUACCUAGUGAUUACUUGGUUUUGGUUUGCGACUAUUUACGCAACCAACCAUGAGUUUGACUUUAACGUCAUGGGUUGAAGCCUCCUACAGGAAGGGAGAAAGCUCCACAGCUAGCUCCAAAAGAGAAUUAUCACAUUGAUAGCUCCAGAGAUUCCCAAGGGGACUGAAUCAAAGACAAGUUCCUCACUUUUUCUUCUUUUGAGGCCAAAUAUGAACCAAGGAUCACACAACCUCAUUCAACUUCAUAAGUUUGAUUUCAUGCAGUUGAACACUGGGUGAAGGCCAUGACAAGAAUUGAUUCAAAAAUUCUAUCACUCUUUUAAGUAAUGGAAGAUUAUUAUCUCUGAUUGGCAUCACAACAGCACAUGCUCCUAGAUCUUUCUAGACACUCCAUGCAAUGAAAGCACAAUGGAUCUUGUAACGAUAGAAACUAAGCCAUGCUACAGUACUAGAUGAUGAGGUAAAACUAGUAGACACGGGUGGCAGCCUAUAUGGGAGGGACACAAGUCUAAUUGAUUUGCAUUUCAGCAUUAUAGAUAGGUAUGUUUUGGAAGAUUUGUUCUGGAAAUACCGCACCAAGUAGGAUUCUUUUUCUCUUUAGUGGGUCCACUUGCAUGCCAAUUAACGAGUUGAAAAGUAUGAGCACCUACCUCGUGCUCGUGGAACCGAAGGUCAGUGAAGUGGGGCUCCUUUUGGCCUCGUGUAAACUUGAUUCAGAAGUGAAGUUAAUAGUCUUCCAUUCAGAUGGAUACAUGGGAAUUUUUCUCUUUUAUUUAUUUAUUUAUUUUUUUUUUGUGUGUGUAUGUCAAAGGAUAAUGAAUGAAGCGCGUUAGCUUGUUUUCUGACUGGAACCGCAGAUGUCCAAAUUGGAGUUCCUUCAUUUCUUACUUAGGAUUGUUACAUGUAUAAACAAGGUAUAAGAAAUAUGCCAACGUGUCUUGAGGAGUUAUUGAUUAGAAAUAACAAGUCACCCGACUGUAGAGUUCCAAGAUUUGAAUCUUCAGACCCUAUAGCAGCCUCUGGGGUACGUGGCAUCCUAUAGCAUAUUAAUGAAGGCUUUUUCGAUUUAGACUUCACAAUACCAAUUAAUAUGUAUGCACAAAAUGGAGAUGACCCCAAAAAAAACAGAAUCGCCAUAGUUUAUGAGGUUAAGGUGAUUCUCCACUUAAUAUCUACAUUAGCUAAUUAUGUAAAUCAAAUGAACUUCUAUUUUUCCUUUUUUUUUUUGGUUUAUGUCAAAUAGUAGCCCAUAAUUAACCCAACCAUUAGCCUGUUUGAAUUGAUUUCACAUGCACAAUGUUGUAGUAGUUCAUAUUUUGAAUUUUAUUUUUACAAAGGUAGUUAAGGAAAAUGAAGUAUAAUAAUUAUAAAAGCAGACUAUAUACACUACAAUAAUUGUUAGAAUGGUAUCUCAAAUUCUAAUUUAAAAUAUUAUUUUUUGUAAAAGAAAUAUUAUAUAGAAUAUUUCCUAAUUUUAUAAAUGAUUAUAAUUAGAUCUUUAUAAAAUAAGGAAAGUUGGUAAGAAUAUCUUUAUAAAUAUUUUAGGUCAUGAGAGAAAGAAAUGGGAUAAAAAUGUGAUGAAGAGGUGAAAUAAGAGAGUUGAUUAGGAUAUAGAUGUGAAGAAGAAAGGGAUUCAAUAUAUAUAUAUCUUUCAAUUACCACAUUAAAACCCUGUGAACCUUUUAUAUGGUUUACUUUAUUUUUAUAUUCCUCCUUUAAUAUAUUUACAUUAAUGCUUCCAUUGGCACAACAAUAACGAAUUACAAAUACAAGCAACAAGUCCCAUGUUUUAUUACCAAAAGCAGGUAAAAUCCACCUAAUAUAUUACAAUAUAUUCAUCCAAUAUUUUAGACCAAUUCUUCACCAUAAAUAUCAUAAUGUGGCUUUUGUUCUUUCUUAAAUUUAAAUUGAAUUGUCUUAUAUCAAUUUGUUUGUGAUUUUUUCAUUAACUUCACUUUCAUUUGGUUAUCUUUGGUUUUUGAAAAGUAUUAAGGAAUUAAUUAACAAAAUAAUGUUAAGAAAAAUAAUUUUCUCUCUUUUGAUUUUGAUUUUGUAGUAGAAAAAUAUAAUUAAAAUUAUUUAAAAAGUAUGUAAUUUUAAAUUAUUUAAUAUUUAGAUAAAAAAAAUAAGUCUAAUGAGUUUAAAAUAACAUAUAAAAAUAAUUUAUUUAUUUUAAAUUUAUUUUUUAUUUUCCAUUAUGUUCUCUUUCUCUUUUACUUUUUCAUAUUUUUUCUUACGAAGAAUCAAACACAACCUCAUAUUAUAUGUCAAGUGUUUGUCUAUAUUUGAGCAAUGUUAGAUACGGCCAUGGAUUCAUCAAACUAAACUGAUUUUAAUAGAUACUUCACAAAUUGAUUUAUACACUAAAUCAUUGGAUAGCAAUGAUGCAUUGGAAUUAAACGUAGGAUGAAGCUCGAAGAACACUGUUUGUGUAACAACAUAUUUAUGAAAUUAUGCAAAGGAUGAGCUUCGGGGUAGUAGUACAAGGUCAUUAAUGGAGAGCCGUGUUAAACCUUGAUUGUGAUUGGAUUCCGUUAUCAGCAACAGCAACCUUGUUUGUAACCUUGAAAGUCAUUCUGUCCACAUCGAAACUCCAAUUUGACGUUUGUAAUUACCAUUCCUGGAGUGUUCCUUGAUUGAAAUUUAAAUAAUAAUUGCGGCCCACAAGGAAUAUUUUCGAUUCUGUGGGAAUUUGACAAGGUUUGUUAGAGAAGACUGGUGACAUGUUGACUUCAAUGGUUCAAAUAGGAGACGUAUGUGGAUUUGGGGGGUUUAAUUGAAACUGAGUCCCUAUGGCUUUUUAAUAUUUGCAUUGAGCAGUCUCCAUGUGACUUCCUAAUUCCCACCAACCCUCCUGUCCAUGCUGUGAAACUAAAUUGUAAUUUAUCAGCCUUUGUCAAUGGUUUCUAAAUUAAAGAUAUAGACCAUGCAUGUACUUUAAUAAAAGCAAAUCUAAAGUGUAGAUAGCAGCAAUGGUGACACCCAAUAUUCUCCAUAAAAUAGAAUUAGAAUAAGCAGUGUUACAUUGUUCAUGAUCACCUACAAGCAUACAAGAACUUCCAUGAAUAACUCAUAGCAAUUGCCAACAGGGCGUCGUAGAGACUCAUACAUAGAACACUAUCCACCCAGAGGAAAGGACAAGACCAGUGCGCUGCAGCUCUUAUUUUUCACAUGUAUACCACCACUCGUAAUAACCAAAUUCACUCAGUUGGGAUAGGUGGGAGAUGGUGGUUUGUGGGGUGGCUUGUGGGGAGGAGUUGGAGGAGGCUUUAUUUUCUGAGGCGGCUUGUAUGAGUGUGCAGGAGGAUGCCCGGGAGUGUGACCAUAAUGUGGUGGCUUCUCUCCCGUAGGUGGUUUGCCAAAUGGGCUUGGUGGCUUCUCUCCCUUAGGAGGUUUACCAAUUGGGGUUGGUGGCUUGUGUUCUGGGAGUGGUUUCUCUCCCUUGGUAGGUUUGCCAAUUGGGGUUGGCGGCUUAUGUUCUGGGAGUGGCUUCUCUCCCUUGGGAGGUUUGCUAAUUGGGGUUGGCGGCUUAUGUUCUGGGGGCGGCUUCUCUCCCUUGGGAGGUUUGCCAAUUGGAGUUGGCGGCUUAUGUUCUGGGAGUGGCUUUUCUCCCUUGGGAGGCUUGCCAAUUGGGGUUGGCGGCUUAUGUUCUGGGGGUGGCUUCUCUCCUUUAGGAGGUUUGCCAAUUGGAGUCGGCGGCUUAUGUUCUGGAAGUGGCUUUUUUCCCUUGGGAGGUUUGCCAAUUGGGGUUGGCGGCUUAUGUUCUGGGGGUGGCUUCUCUCCCUUGGGAGGUUUGCCAAUUGGAGUCGGCGGCUUAUGUUCUGGGAGUGGCUUCUCUCCCUUGGGAGGUUUUGUUGGUGGCUUGUGUUCUGGAGAUGGCUUCUCCCCUGGAGGCUUGUGCUCCGGAGGUGGCUUCUGAAAUGGCGGGGGCUUGGGGUAAUGAGCAAGAGAUGGAGUACUGGUGAGAACCACCAUUCCAAGCAACAAUACUAGCAAGCAUGUGGGAGAC